GAAACCAUUUAACCAACAUAAUGGUUUCCAGAAUUUUUAAAACCAUAUAAACACACAUAAAACCAGUUUACAAUACAAAUGGUUUCAGUGUAUAACUAUCUGAAACCAUUUAACCAACAUAAUGGUUUCCAGAAUUUUUAAAACCAUAAAAACACACAUAAAACCAUUUUACAAUACAAAUGGUUUCAGUGUAUAACUAUCUGAAACCAUUUAACCAACAUAAUGGUUUCCAGAAUUUUUGAAACCAUAAAAACACACAUAAAACCAUUUUACAAUACAAUGGUUUUAGUGUAUAACUAUCUGAAACCAUUUAACUGGUUUUAAAUAAUGAUUAUAAUUGUACAAAAAAAAAACAAUUAUGAUUCUAAUUAUAGGUUGUACUUCAAAACCAUCUUAUGCACUUAAUGGUNNN
rnacentral:lncRNA from 1 species